GGGAGCGUGCAUGAACUGUAGGAGGCAGCACAGGAGCCGUCAGAUUUUUGGCGCGAGGCGUAAAUGUGAUGUUUAUUGUUCCGAUGUAGCCCACAAGAUGGCAGAACCUACUAUGCACAAGAAAACACUUUAAAAGAAAGGUGAUGAAAUAUGUUGGCUUACUGGAUAUCACAAAUAAUUCGCCACAGAUUCACAGAUGACUUAAAAAUACUUAAUAAAAUAUUUAUAUAAAAUAUUUGUAUAUAAGUAGUUAAUAAUUGUUAUCAACUAUUUACCAUAUGUACUGGUACUAAUUAAUUUAACCGUAAGAUUACUGCAUGUUCACUGGUAGAAGACACUUAUAUAAGAUGUGGUUACCUAUAAUUAGAUAAGCAUCAGUCCUGAUUGUCAUAUAGAUUUAAGAGCAUGUAAGAUGUAUUAUCUGUUGGUAAUCCUAAAAAAAAAAAAAAAAGACAUAGUCAAAAAUAAAUAUUUGUUAACUCUCUCUAACCAGUGCCGCGUCUACAAGACACGGCUUAUGCUGAGCGGCAUCCUAUUUGGUGUACAUGUAAUUAUUUACUUUGUUGUUUUUAUGUUUUGAUUUUAUGCCAAAUAAAUAUUUUUCUAUUC